rnacentral:rRNA from 1 species
GCAACUCGCCUACACGAAGUUGGAAUUGCUAGUAAUCGUGGAUCAGCAUGCCACGGUGAAUACGUUCCCGGGUCUUGUACACACCGCCCGUCACACCAUGGGAGCUGGUAACACCCGAAGUCAGUAGUCUAACCGCAAGGAGGACGCUGCCGAAGGUGGGAUUAGCGACUGGGGUGAAGUCGUAACAAGGUAAC